UCUUUAGAGACGCCACUCUACACAUGCAUUUUUGCUGAGAAAUAAAUGAGUGACAGGGACAAGAUUCUAUUACAAAAACGGUGUCGAGGAAGGACGAGUUAGAAGGCCUUUUAUGUUUUCUUUUCAUUAUAUAUGUAAACAAUCUUGUGUAAAUCAUUUAAUUGACCUCUUAGUCAUAUGAAUGUAUUUGAAUUAUUCAACUUGGGAAUUUCUUUUUAUUGAAUAAUAUUGAAUGUUUUUUUA